CAUACCGAGGAUCGCCCCCCGUCAGCGAGGUUUCGCCCACGGGGGCGUUCAGC
rnacentral:sRNA from 1 species